rnacentral:rRNA from 1 species
UACGGGGGGGGCAAGCGUUGUUCGGAAUUACUGGGCGUAAAGGGCUCGUAGGCGGCCAACUAAGUCGGAUGUGAAAUCCCUGGGCUCAACCCAGGAACUGCGUCCGAUACUGGCAGGCUUGAAUUCGGGAGAGGGAUGCGGAAUUCCAGGUGUAGCGGUGAAAUGCGUAGAUAUCUGGAGGAACACCAAUGGCGAAGGCAGCUCGCUGGGACGGUACUGACGCUGAGGCGCGAAAGCGUGGGGAGCAAACAGG